UGAGGAACAUGACCUUCGGCGGGGGACAGCCGGCCCAACGGCCGGGUAAUACCGCGUACGACCACAUGGGGACAUCCCUGAGUGGUGAAAGCAGCAAUGCGCCGAUGGAGUGCCUCGCGGCCUAUCAGCUAGUUGGUGAGGUAACGGCUCACCAAGGCAACGACGGGUAGCUGGUCUGAGAGGAUGGCCAGCCACAGUUGGGACUGAGACACGGCCCAGACCUCUACGGGAG
rnacentral:rRNA from 1 species